rnacentral:lncRNA from 1 species
GUGUUAGUCCAUUUUGCAUCUUGGGUAAUUUAUGAGAAAUAAGAUUUAUUUGAAUCACACCCUGCAGGCUAUACCAGAAGCAUAGCACCAGCAUCUGCUUCUGGUGAGGGGCUUGGGGAGCUUCCAAUCAUAGCAGAGUGGAAGAGGAGUCAUGUAUUACAAGUUUGAGCUCUUCCAAUGGGACAGUCUUGGGGAGGACCAUCCCAUGAGGUAGAAGAAGCAGCUUGCUGGUUUUCUUGAACUACUUCUUCUCUGCAAGGUCAGUGGAUGGGGGAGUAGGCCUCAUCACCUUCCUCUCAACCCUCUGUC